UACGUAGGGUGCAAGCGUUGUCCGGAAUUAUUGGGCGUAAAGGGCUCGUAGGCGGUCCGUCACGUCGGGAGUGAAAACUCAGGGCUCAACCCUGAGCGUGCUUCCGAUACGGGCGGACUAGAGGUAUGCAGGGGAGAACGGAAUUCCUGGUGUAGCGGUGGAAUGCGCAGAUAUCAGGAGGAACACCGGUGGCGAAGGCGGUUCUCUGGGCAUUACCUGACGCUGAGGAGCGAAAGCCAGGGGAGCAAACGGG
rnacentral:rRNA from 1 species